GACGAACGCUGGCGGCGUGCUUAACACAUGCAAGUCGAACGGAAAGGCCCUGCUUGCAGGGUACUCGAGUGGCGAACGGGUGAGUAACACUUGGGUGAUCUGCCCUGCACUUCGGGAUAAGCCUGGGAAACUGGGUCUAAUACCGGAUAGGAGCCAUUUUUAGUGUGAUGGUUGGAAAGUUUUUUCGGUGUAGGAUGAGCUCGCGGCCUAUCAGCUUGUUGGUGGCGUAAUGGCCUACCAAGGCGGCGACGGGUAGCCGGCCUGAGAGGGUGGACGGCCACAUUGGGACUGAGAUACGGCCCAGACUCCUACGGGAGGCAGCAGUGGGGAAUAUUGCACAAUGGGCGCAAGCCUGAUGCAGCGACGCCGCGUGGGGGAUGACGGCCUUCGGGUUGUAAACUCCUUUCGCUAGGGACGAAGCUUUUGUGACGGUACCUAGAUAAGAAGCACCGGCUAACUACGUG
rnacentral:rRNA from 1 species